UACGAAGGGGGCUAGCGUUGUUCGGAAUUACUGGGCGUAAAGCGCACGUAGGCGGGUUGUUAAGUCAGGGGUGAAAUCCUGGAGCUCAACUCCAGAACUGCCUUUGAUACUGGGUAUCUUGAGUAUGGAAGAGGUGAGUGGAAUUCCGAGUGUAGAGGUGAAAUUCGUAGAUAUUCGCAAGAACACCAGUGGCGAAGGCGGCUCACUGGCCCGGUACUGACGCUGAGGUGCGAAAGCGGUGGGGAGCAAACAGG
rnacentral:rRNA from 1 species